AUUGAACGCUGGCGGCAGGCCUAACACAUGCAAGUCGAGCGGAUGAAGGGAGCUUGCUCCUGGAUUCAGCGGCGGACGGGUGAGUAAUGCCUAGGAAUCUGCCUGGUAGUGGGGGAUAACGUCCGGAAACGGGCGCUAAUACCGCAUACGUCCUGAGGGAGAAAGUGGGGGAUCUUCGGACCUCACGCUAUCAGCUGAGCCUAGGUCGGAUUAGCUAGUUGGUGGGGUAAAGGCCUACCAAGGCGACGAUCCGUAACUGGUCUGAGAGGAUGAUCAGUCACACUGGAACUGAGACACGGUCCAGACUCCUACGGGAGGCAGCAGUGGGGAAUAUUGGACAAUGGGCGAAAGCCUGAUCCAGCCAUGCCGCGUGUGUGAAGAAGGUCUUCGGAUUGUAAAGCACUUUAAGUUGGGAGGAAGGGCAGUAAGUUAAUACCUUGAUGUUUUGACGUUACCAACAGAAUAAGCACCGGCUAACUUCGUG
rnacentral:rRNA from 1 species